GUAGGUGGCAAGCGUUGUCCGGAAUUAUUGGGGCGUAAAGCGCGCGCAGGCGGUUCUUUAAGUCUGAUGUGAAAGCCCACGGGCUCAACCGUGGAGGGUCAUUGGAAACUGGAGAACUUGAGUACAGAAGAGGAAAGCGGAAUUCCACGUGUAGCGGUGAGAUGCGUAGAGAUGUGGAGGAACACCAGUGGCGAAGGCGGCUUUCUGGUCUGUAACUGACGCUGAGGCGCGAAAGCGUGGGGAGCAAACAGGAUUAGAUACCCUGGUAGUCCACGCCGUAAACGAUGAGUGCUAAGUGUUAGGGGGUUUCCGCCCCUUAGUGCUGCAGCUAACGCAUUAAGCACUCCGCCUGGGGAGUACGGCCGCAAGGCUG
rnacentral:rRNA from 1 species